rnacentral:tRNA from 1 species
GGCUUCAUAGCUCAGUAGGUUAGAGCGUCACACUGGUAUCGUGAGGUCACAGGUUCAAACCCCGUUGAAGUGCU